rnacentral:rRNA from 1 species
GACGAACGCUGGCGGCGUGCUUAACACAUGCAAGUCGAACGAAGUGGCGAACGGGUGAGUAACGCGUAAUCAACUUGCCCUUCAGAGGGGGACAACAGUUGGAAACGACUGCUACUACCCCAUACGGAUGGAGGGGAUUGCGUCGGAUUGGCUAGUUGGAGGGGUAACGGCCCACCAAGGCGAGGAUCAGUAGGCGGUCUGAGAGGAUGAACGGCCACAUUGGGACUGAGACACGGGCCAGACUCCUACGGGAGGCAGCAGGGGGGAAUCUUCCGCAAUGGACGAAAGUCUGACGAAGCAACGCCGCGGGAGUGAUGACGGCCUUCGGGUUGGAAAGCUCUGUUAAUCGGGACGCGGUACCGGAAUAGAAAGCCACGGCUAACUACGUGCCAGCAGCCGCGGUAAUAC